rnacentral:lncRNA from 1 species
UACAUUGUUGACUGAGAAUCCUGUAUCUGAUUCCAAACUUUGUUUGCUCACCCACAUUAAUUCUAUCACCUGGAUAAUAGAUUCAGGCGCUUCUAAUCAUAUGACUUAUGACAAAAAUUUACUUUUUAAUAUUGUUCCUUUACCUCUGUCUUACCUUGUUAGUAUUCCAAAUGGUUAUAAAGUUAAAGUAACCUGUACUGGCUCUUUUGCCUUGACUCCCUUCAUCACUCUUCACAAUGUGCUGCUUGUUCCCUCUUUUAAACAGAACUUGAUAUCUGUUCACAAGUUAGUGAAGCAGUUACAUUGUCUUGUCUUGUUCACUGAACAUUCCUGUUUUCUACACAUGAUACAGGACCCUUCUCUGAGGAGGCCACUGGAUCUUGGUAGACAUUCUGCUGGGCUGUAUAAACUAGAUUGGUCUCCUCCUUCUUCUACUCCUUGUAAUCCUGUUUCUGUUGCUUGUAAUGCUAGUAAUAAACAAGUUGUUUCUUGUAAUGCUAGUAAUAAACAAGUUGUUUCUGCUCCUUCUUGUAAUGAUGAUCUUUUAUCUGAACAAAUGACUGUUUCUAUGCAUUCUCAUGUUAAUAGUUCCAAUUGUAAUAAUGAUUUUAAAUCUGAUAUGAAUUACACUUGGCACUUGAGNNNNNNAUAUGUUAAUAGUUCCAAUUGUAAUAAUGAUUUUAAAUCUGAUAUGAAUUACACUAGGCACUUGAGACUUGCACACAUUCCGUUUGUUAACAUGAAAUGCAUUUCUGGUCUUCCUUUCCUAUGUGCUUCCAAACAGUCAUUUCCUUGCUCUGUUUGUCCUAUGGCCAGACAAACCAGGCUCCCUUUCCCUGAUAGUUCUAUUAGAACUUCCAAACCUUUCCAACUGAUUCAUGUGGAUACCUGGGGACCUUACCAUACUUCAACUUUUUCUGGUUGUAAAUACUUUCUUACCAUUGUUGAUGAUUAUUCAAGGGCAACCUGGAC